UGAUUUUCCACAAUUCAAACAUGGACGUCUGUAUUAUGAAGAAAGCCGGAGACCCUACUUCCCAGUACCUAUAGGAAAGGAGUACAGCUAUUACUGUGACAACGGGUUUACAACGCCUUCACAGUCAUACUGGGACUACCUUCGUUGCACAGUAAAUGGGUGGGAGCCUGAAGUUCCAUGCCUCAGUAAGCCAAUGCCUUUAUAGUUAACUAUGUUGAUUCUUUUAAAGAGAGAGCACAUACAUAAUUAAGUUAUUCAUAACAAAAAUAAGACCAACAAAAGAAUUUGUGAGCAAAAUGGCUAGUUUCUGUUAUGAAAUGUUUCUUCAUGAAACAUGCAAUAGGGACUAUGGAAAUACUUGCAUAUUUUAUUUUUACAAACGAAAGAUAAAUGCUAUUCUCUUAAAUGUUUGUUAUUAAUUUUAUUUUUGAAUGAUGUGCAUACUCAUUAAACAGUUUUAAAGAUAACAUUUAUCUUAGUUUAUUUUUAAACAAAUUAAAGAUUUUAUUUUUUUAAUUUUUAAUUAUUAUGUUUCUUAGGGCAAUGUAUUUUCCAUUAUGUGGAAUAUGGAGAAUCUUUAUACUGGCAAAGAAGAUAUAUAGAGGGUCAGUCUGCAAAAGUCCAGUGUCACAGUGGCUAUAGUCUUCCAAAUGGUCAAGAUACAAUAUUAUGUACAGAAAAUGGCUGGUCCCCUCCUCCCAAAUGCGUCCGUAUCAAGUCAUGUGAUAUGCCUGUGUUUGAGAAUGCUGUAAUUAAGA
rnacentral:lncRNA from 1 species